CUGCAUAUGAAUUGGCAAGUUAACAGAGUGAAAGAAUAAUAUUAGCAUGUUUUGACAAAAAAAAAAAAAAAAAAAAGUAGAAACUGGAAACAUACAAAGCUGGAGAUUGCUGAAGCUACGACAAAGUUGAUGAAGCAGGUGGAAAACUCUGUGCUAACAUACAAAGCUGGAGAUUGCUGAAGCUACAACAAAGUUGAUGAAGAAGAAUGAAUUGUAACUCCUUUUAUAGAAGUGUAUUCAUAAACCAGAAAGGAUUUGAUUUUGUACUCGUAUAUGAUUUGUAUUAGGAACCAACUGUAAAAGG